rnacentral:rRNA from 1 species
CGUACGUACAAGCAGUAGGAGCCCUUCGGGGUGACUGCGUACCUUUUGUAUAAUGGGUCAGCGACUUAAUUUAUGUAGCGAGCUUAACCGAAUAGGGGAGGCGCAGGGAAACCGAGUCUUAAUAGGGCGACUAGUUGCAUGGAUUAGACCCGAAACCUGGCGAUCUAUCCAUGGUCAGGGUGAAGGUGAGGUAACACUUACUGGAGGCCCGAACUCACGUAUGUUGAAAAAUGCGGAGAUGAACUGUGGAUCGGAGUGAAAGGC